AGUGCAACGAAGGCACCUGGGCUGUCGCCGUCCUUAAGGACGUGCACGCCCAGAGUGCUCUCUCACAUCCAUCUCACCCCUUUGUGCAUCACCGCGUGGGGCCCUCUCUUUUGACUUGUUCCGGAGGGGGGGUUUCACGUUUUUACACAAACAACCCAUUAAUGCAUGUGCAGAAUGUCUUACUUUUUGCGGUCACACGCAAUCAAUACAACUUUCAACAACGGAUCUCUUGGCUCUCGCAUCGAUGAAGAACGCAGCGAAAUGCGAUACGUAAUGUGAAUUGCAGAAUUCAGUGAAUCAUCGAAUCUUUGAACGCACCUUGCGCCCCUUGGUAUUCCGAGGGGUGCACCCGUUUGAGUGUCGUGAACACCCUCAACCUUCUUGGUUUAUCGACCGGNAAGGCUUGGACUUUGGAGGUUCUUUGUUGCUGGCCUCGUUCGAAGCCAGCUCCUCCUAAAUGAAUUAGUGGGGUCCGCCGUGCCGAUCCUCGACGUGAUAAGUACGCUUCUACGUCUUGGGGGUUUCGCGCUGUAAUCCUGCUUCCAACUGUCUUUGAAAUGAAGACGACGUUCGAGUUGCGACUCGACCUUAUAAACNUUGNCCUCAAUCGGGUG
rnacentral:rRNA from 1 species